rnacentral:rRNA from 1 species
AAGUCGGAGGUGAAGCAGGGCUUCGGCCCUGUGGAAACUGGCGCACGGGUGAGUAACGCGUGGGAAUCUACCCCGGGGUGGGGAAUAACCGCUGGAAACGGCGGCUAAUACCGCAUACGCCUUGAGAGGGAAAGCUUUAUGCGCCCUGGGAUGAGCCCGCGUCGGAUUAGCUUGUUGGUGAGGUAACGGCUCACCAAGGCUUCGAUCCGUAGCUGGUCUGAGAGGAUGAUCAGCCACACUGGGACUGAGACACGGCCCAGACUCCUACGGGAGGCAGCAGUGGGGAAUAUUGGACAAUGGGGGAAACCCUGAUCCAGCCAUGCCGCGUGCGUGAAGAAGGCCUUAGGGUUGUAAAGCGCUUUCGGCGGGGAAGAUGAUGACGGUACCCGCAGAAGAAGCCCCGGCUAACUCCGUGCCAGCAGCCGCGGUAAUACGGAGGGGGCAAGCGUUGUUCGGAAUUACUGGGCGUAAAGGGCGCGUAGGCGGACAAUCAAGUCAGAGGUGAAAGCCCUGGGCUCAACCUAGGAACUGCCUUUGAAACUGACAGUCUAGAGUCCGAGAGAGGAUGGCGGAAUUCCCAGUGUAGAGGUGAAAU